AGUGAACGCUGGCGGUAGGCCUAAUACAUGCAAGUCGAACGGAAGCACAGUAAGAGUUCGCCCCUACGGGUGGCGAGGGGCGGGUGGGUGAGGCAUGGAUAGGCAUCUAAUUUUUCGUGGGGGACAUCGUAGGGCCACUGAUGCUAAUAGCGAAUAUGAUCUACGGGUGAAAGCAGGGGUUAUUGAGACUUUGCGUGUCUCUAUUAGCUGAUGCCGGAUUAGCUAGUUGGGGGGGUAAAGGCCUACCAAGGCAACGAUACGUAGCUGAUCUGAGAGGAUGAUCGGCCACACUGGAACUGAGACACGGUCCAGACUCCUACGGGAGGCAGCAGUAGGGAAUAUUGGGCAAUGGGCGAAAGCCUGAUCCAGCCAUGCCGCGUGGGUGAAGAAGGCCUUCGGGUUGUAAAGCCCUGUUAUUAGGAAAGAAAAGCUGCGGAUGAAUCCCCGGCCGUUCUGACGGUACCCAAAGAGAAAGCACCGGCUAACUUCGUG
rnacentral:rRNA from 1 species